rnacentral:rRNA from 1 species
AGAGUUUGAUCCUGGCUCAGAGCGAACGCUGGCGGCAGGCCUAACACAUGCAAGUCGAGCGCCCAGCAAUGGGAGCGGCAGGCGGGAGAGUAACACGUGGGAACGUACCCUUCAGUUCGGAACAACCCAGGGAAACUUGGGCUAAUACCGAAUACGUCCGUAAGGAGAAAGAUUUAUCGCUGAAGGAUCGGCCCGCGUCUGAUUAGCUAGUUGGUGGGGUAAUGGCCCACCAAGGCGACGAUCAGUAGCUGGUCUGAGAGGAUGAUCAGCCUCACUGGGACUGAGACACGGCCCAGACUCCUACGGGAGGCAGCAGUGGGGAAUAUUGGACAAUGGGCGCAAGCCUGAUCCAGCCAUGCCGCGUGGAUGAUGAAAGGCCCUAGGGUUGUAAAGUCCUUUCGGCGGGGAAGAUAAUGACGGUACCCGCAGAAGGAAGCCCCGGNCUAACUUCGUGCCAGCAGCCGACGGUAAUACCGAAGGGGGCUAAGCGUAGCUCGGAAAUCACUGGGCGUANAAGCGCACGUAACGCGGACUCU